rnacentral:rRNA from 1 species
UACGUAGGGUGCAAGCGUUAAUCGGAAUUACUGGGCGUAAAGCGUGCGCAGGCGGCUUUGCAGGACAGAUGUGAAAUCCCCGGGCUUAACCUGGGGACUGCAUUUGUGACUGCAUGGCUGGAGUGCGGCAGAGGGGGAUGGAAUUCCGCGUGUAGCAGUGAAAUGCGUAGAUAUGCGGAGGAACACCGAUGGCGAAGGCAAUCCCCUGGGCCUGCACUGACGCUCAUGCACGAAAGCGUGGGGAGCAAACAGG